rnacentral:rRNA from 1 species
AUGUACAGGUAUUUUGUUGUCGUUGAUGAUAUAUGGAAUGUGGAGGCAUGGGAUAUUAUUAAGUUUGCAUUCCCCAUGACAAGUUCUGGCAGCAUCAUAAUCACCACUACUCGUAUAAAUGAAGUUGCCAAAUCAUGCUGUUCAUCUUUCAGUGGCAAUAUUUAUGAUAUAAAGCCUCUUAAUUCAGUGCAUUCAGGAGAGCUAUUUCAUAGAAGACUAUUCGACUCCGAAGAUAAUUGCCCUCCACACCUUGAAGAAGUUUCUAAUCAAAUCUUGGAAAAAUGUGCUGGAUUACCUUUGGCAAUCAUAGCUAUAUCUGGUUUGCUGGCUAACACAAGAAGAACAGAGGACCAAUGGAGCAAAGUAAAAGAUUCAAUUGGUCGUGCACUUGAAAGGAAUCAUGAUGUUGAAGUAAUGAUGAAGAUAUUGUCACUUAGUUAUAUUGAUCUGACUGCUCAUCUGAAGACUUGUCUCUUAUAUAUCAGUAUAUUUCCUGAGGAUUCUUCAAUUCAUAGGAUUAAUCUGAUACGGGACUGGAUAGGUGAAGGAUUCAUUCCUAAAGAAGAAGGGCUUACAAUACAUGAGACAGGAGAAAGGUGUUUUAAUGAGCUCCUCAAUAGGGGCUUGAUCCUACCUGGGGAAACAAAUGAAUAUGGUGAGGUGAGGUAUUGUCGAGUUCAUGACGUAAUUCUUGAUUUCAUCAAAUCCAAGUCUAUUCAAGAGAACUUUGUUACUUUCCUGAGUAUUUCCAAUCCAAAAGCUGGGACAGAAAGCAUUCACCGGUUAUCUCUACAAGGUGGCAAGCAAGAAAAUUCAACAAUACCAACAGCAGGCUUGGAUUUAUCCCAUGUCAGAUCAGUGUAUGGAGCUUCCGUGGAAAUGCCUUCUUUAGAGAAGUUCAGACAUCUGCGUGUUCUGCACUUGAUCCACUAUGUCCGUUAUUCAGAACAAAAUCUUGAAAAUCUAGUGAGGUUGUUCCAGCUGAGUUACUUGAACUUGAGACAUGUAGGAAUAAGAGAGCUCCCAAAACAAAUUGGGCGUUUAGGGUGCUUAGAGGUACUAGACCUAAGAGAAAAUCCGGUAAAGGAAUUACCUGCAUCUAUUGUUAAUCUCAGAAAAUUGUCGCAUCUACUUGUUGAGUAUGGUGUUAAAUGUCCUGAUGGGGUUGCGAAGAUGGAAGCAUUGGAGGCGUUGAAAGAGGUCGGUGUCUCCAUACAGUCAUUAGACUUUGUGUCGGGCCUUGGCCAGCUGAAGAAUUUGAGUAACCUGGCCCUUGAUUCUAACACCAAUGAUACAAUUGAAGCUGCGGAAGAGCGCAACAGAGCUAUCGUAUCUUCCCUGUGUGAGCUAGGCACCCAGAACCUGCAGUCCCUGACUAUUCGGGAUGGGAGAGGCCUCUUACAGGUACAUCUGUGCGAGCUUACCCUCGAGAAGCUUGUUAACUUCUUUUUAGCCAUCCCGCAGAUCCCGAAAUGGGCAAGCUCCCUCAGGAACCUCCAAAAGCUAAUCCUUGAAGUGAAGGGAGUUAAGCAGGAUGAUAUCUGCAUGCUUGGGGCCUUACCCUCUCUGCUCAUUCUGCACCUAAAGGAACAAACAAUGUCAAACGAGCUCAGAAUCAGUGGUGAAGUUGGUUUCCUAUCCUUGAAGAUUUUUAUUUAUGAUGCAAAAUAUCACACGGUAGAUCACAUGUUUGCAGCACGAUCCAUGCCCAAGCUAGAAAAACUCGUGCUUAUUUGCCACGUAGCUGAAGCUGACUCGCUGGACUUUGGAAUGGAGAACCUCCGCUGCCUCAGUACUAUCAGAUGCGAAGCAAAUGGCGACAGGGGCAUUGUUCAAGCUGCAAAGACUGUCAUGGAGAGAGCAGUCAGCACACAUCCGAACCACCCUAAUCUACUCUUUUUGCGUGUUGACAAAUAUGUUUGGUCUCUAAUUCCCAGCUUUGAUUAA